rnacentral:lncRNA from 1 species
CCAUGCAUGUUCUUUUCUGAAGUUAAAGCAGGAAGGGCUACGAUGAUCAGUCAUCAGUAUAAAUAAUCUUGGUAACAAGAUUAACCAUGUUACAUGGAAUGAUUGGAGACUACCUACCUCUUUUUCAGGCUCUGCUAAUGCAGAAUUUUGGAUCAUGUCAAAAGUCUGCACAAGUCUCUCUACCUUAUAUUCUGAGUGCUGGAUAACUCUUCUUACUAGAGAGAACAUCAGUAGCAGACAUCUUUCCAGGAGAAAUUGGUGAACUGGAUGUCUUCCCAGUCUGCUGUUCUCAUCUGUCUGCCUGAUCUAGACUUCUGUCCCACACAGUCUUCUGUGUUGGGUGGCUUACUCAAGAUUUCUCCCACGUUUGAGCCCAAUCUAUUCACCAGUGGUAUAAAUCAGUGUUUCAAUUCCUUAUACUCCUUGAAAAUCUGGUUAUAGUAUUGACUAAAAUCCACAAAUGGAUGCAACUCUAGUACUUAGGAUGCCUGAGGGUAAAACCUUCAGUUUCUUUUGGUACUCUUUCUGAAUUUCACAGAGUAGUUGAGACUGGAAGGGAUGUCUGGAGAUCCUGCAGUCCACCUGCCUGUCUCCAGGAAUGCUGGUUGUAACAGGUUGAACAGUUGUAUUUUCCAUAUCUGGAAGGAUGGAGAGUCUACAAGAAGUCUGGGCCAGCUAUUCCGCUGUUCAGCCACAUGGUAAAAAUGUGUUUUUGUAUGUUCAGAUAGUUACAUUCAGAAAUUACCAGUCUUGGUCACAGGAAUGCUAUUGCAUUAUGAGAUUGAUAGGUAUGUAUGUAGUCUUAAUACAGUGUUCUUUCAGGUUUUUAAAAAAUUGGUUUCUAAUGGUGUCUUUAAUCUGAAAAUUAUUUUAGCUCUUUCCCUCCUCCAAAUUCCCAUAUUUCUGGAGUUGAUGUGAUUCUUUGUGUAGCAUUUAGGACGUUUUGCUCUUCAUACUUACCUCAGAAUACUGCUAGGUGUCACCAGUGAUGAGAUUGAUGUGGUUGUGGUUUAUUACUAAAAAGAUGAAAAUCUUAAUAAUUUUUCAGAUAUGUAGCCUAUGUUUGUAUUCACUUGCAUCUUUGUCUCCCUCAGUCCUUCAAGAUGCCUAAGAUUUUUUUUUUAAAUAAGCCACCUAAUCAUUCUUGUUUGUAUAUUCUUAUGUGGCAGCCACGAGGCAUGAGCUGAUUGCACUCACUACAAAUGCUAAAGAGGUAAAAAGCUCUUCAGAAUGUAUUUUGGGCAAAUGCAUGUAUUGACUAAGCAGCGUCAAAGAUGUUUUGGAAGAGCAUUACAAGGAUUGGUCAACUUCAUCAUCUUUCGUCGUAUUUUCAUGUUUCAAGUCUAUGUCACUGAAAAUGCAAAGGAAUCUGUUAAUAAGUUUUCCAAGAUGAUAUCAGUUUUGACUAACAGAGAAUGUGUUGGGAUGCUGAUUUGUUUUCCUUGCAUUAUGGUGCCUUAGGAGAUUUAUCUGUCUGGUGACAUGUGGAUUUUCAUACAAAUACAGAAAUAGAUACUUUCCGUUACCUCUUUGACCAAGACUUCAUUUUCCUGCUGUAUUUUUACUUUGCUCAUUAUUCUUUCCUUAAUGUGUUGCUUAUCUGAAUUAAUGCUAUUAAUGCUUUUUUUCAGUUGGUUUAAACACUUUAUACAACAUCUGUCAUGUAAAAAUUAGCUUACAGAGUUUUUACUUAAGAAUCUUUUGUUUUGGAGAGUUUCACAAAUGCCAGAAAUUUUGCUGUUGUAAAAGUAGGCAGUCCAAUGCUCAGAGUCAUAUUGUUCAAAUCAUUUUGGAAUUUAGCCAGCUAUGUGAGUUUGGUCUUAAGAUAGCUGUGUAGUCUUACAUAUAGUAGCCUUUAAAAGGAAGUACUUUGACUGACUAAAGCCUUCCGCAUCUGAUGAUUGCCUUAGGAUGCUCACAGUUUUUUUUUUUUAACAUAUUAAUGCGUCGGAGAGAAACAUUAAUGUAUGUUAUAAACCUGUUUUCUUCUAUGCAUAAUGAGAUUACUGUGGUCAUUCUGCCAGGAAUGUUAAGUCCUCUUUUCCUCUAUUGAUUGUUAAAUUCUUGACCCCCUGAUAGUCCUCAGUAACCUGGUCUGAUCUUGUAGCUGAGCCUGCUUUGAGCAGGGCACUGGGCUGGAGACCUCCUGAGGUCCCUUCCACCAUCGCUUGCUCUGGGAUUCUGUGACUGAGAAGUACUGCCUAAAGCUGCUAGGCCCACUAGAGGCUCGCUUGCUAGCUUGAAAACUCAACUCAUAUUUUAACACAGAUGAUGCAAGUCUUUAUGCUCCUUCCUGUUAGAUAUGUUUGUUAUUAUAACCUGAUCAUGAAUCAUCUACAUUCAUCCUUUGUCAUUAUUUAGUUAUCUGUGUUUCAUUCUAUUUCUGUGAGGCAAGCAAGUUUUGUAAUAAGAGUGCGAUAGUCAUUUUUUUUUUCUUAAUAUUUGUAUGAUCACUGUUAGGGAACUUGAUGAUUUACUCAAAUGUGUGACUAAUUGUAUGAUAUGUGCAUGGGCUGUGUGAAGUCUGCCUCCCUUUUUACUUAGUUCAUGUUUAAAAAAAACCUGUGCAAAAGAGCGCUUGAAUGGGCCUGAAGCAAACUCAUCUUGUGAAUGCUUCCAUUGGUUUUGUAGGACUCCAUGAACUGUCUCUGAUAAUUUUGUUCAACACAAAAUCAUGAUCUUUUAUAAAGGAGUGAGAAUUACUUAGAAAACAUGUUUCGUAAAACCAUAGGGGAUGACUGUGAUCAUCCAGUUGGAUCUUCAGCAUAAUAGUAAUUCUAUAACAACUUCAAGAAUUAAUUCCUAUUUGAAGUAGAGCGCAUCUUCCAGGGGGAAAAAAAAAUCAACACUGGUUUAAAAUACUUACAGUGAUGGAGAUCCCAUGACAGCCCUUACUAACUUGCUGCACUGGUAAUUUUCCUCACUACUAGAAAUUAUUUUUGGUCUAAAUCUGUUCAACUUCAGUUUCCUCAUUAAAACUCUCCCUUGCUGUGUUGCCUGAAGAAAAUGUGACAAUGGGUAGGCUGCUGAUUUGAGGGCUCCUGCCUUUUGUGCUGACCCAUAUUGUUUCAUUAUUUCCUCUCAGUCCCCCUCUGAUUCCAGCUGUUUUGUCUUGUGUUCUGUGUUCAGAUGUUCAGCUUUCAUAUGCAGGGAUUACCUAUUUGUUCUGUUUGUACAGUGCUGAGUAGAGCUGGGUCUUGUUUGGUAAUGGGUGCUUCUCAGCAAUUAGUGUGUCAUGAAGGUGUAAAAGAUUAAAAAAAAAAAAAAAAAAAAAAGAGUUCUUAUCCCACAUUAGCAGCUUUUAAGCCUGUAAAGUCCUACUGUAAUCUAUGGGUAUGACUUCCUUUGUGCCAAGGACUUCCUCAGUUUCUGCCUGACAGACAAAGAAGAUUGAAGUCCUCCUAUCUUUUAGAAAAACUGUUGAUCUCAUUGAUGAGGGUGGCUGAAGGGAAGGAAAACUUACAGUGAUGGAAAAUCCAUUGUAGUCCUCCGUAACCUGGUAUAGAACAUAGCAAUUCGAUGUUCAAUCCUUGCCUCUAAAUUCUAAUCUGAAUUUGUUUUGCUUCAGCUUCCCAGGAUGUUCUUAUCUCUUUCUUAAGAGAUGGAGAGGGAGAAAUACCAUUGUUAAGCUUCUGCCAUGCAUUUGGGUAUUUACAGGCUGUGGUUACAUUGUUCUAUAAUCUUCUCUUUGGUAAACAGAAUAGAUUUGCUUUUUCACUGCCAGGCCUGUUUUCCAGUGAUUUAAUUAUACUUAGUGUGUUCAGUGAAUCCUCCCCAUUUAACCAGUGCCGUGUCUGAAUUGUGAUUAUCAGAAUAGCAACGCUAUUUCAGUAGGAGUGACCCUGGUGUCAGAUACUCAGGUAAUACAGCUUCUCAGUCACAUUUCUUUGCUUAUACAUUCAGAGAUUACAUUAGUCCUUUGACCACUGCCAGCUCAUGUUCAGCUGAUUAGCUACUGUAGUUCUUCUAGUUACUCUUUCCUAGGAUGAUAUUCCUUAUCCUAUUGAAAGGAGCCUACACUAUUUGUUGCUACAUAUAGCAUACAUACUUGUUGUCCUUGUUGUAAUGGACAUUGUGAUAAGAUAAUUUGUUAAGUGUAGUGUAGGUACACUCUGCGUGUUAUAUACUCUUUGUUAUUUGUCAUAGCUUCAUUCUUAAUGCCUUUGCUAAUACCAAACACCUCCAGCUUCUUAUCAAAUUUAUCGUAAGUGUUGAAAUCAUAUUUUGUGUUUAACCAAUAUUUGCUGUCCCAAAGAAGUGACGCGGCCCAAAGAAUAUAUCUAUUGCAUGUUUAUAAUUUCUUUUAAUCCCCCUAAUUUUUGAAGGUUUCUGAGUGUACACACGUACACAAUGGAGUGAAGUAGUUCUAGGAUUUCGUAGAAGUGUAACAUUGGUUUGAGGAUUAAAACUUUCCCGGUUAUACCUCAGCUGUGGCUUGGCCCGCUGCCUGUUGGAGUAGUUGGUGACAAAAAAGAGAUUUUUUGUCAUUUGGGCCUCUCAUGAUCUUAGACUAAUGGAAGAAAAGGGCUCUAAGAAGUCCAUUGUGAGUAGGACAGCUUGCCGGAGUCUAUCACUGUUUAAAUUCUGGAGGUGUCUUAUUCUUUCCUUCAUCAGCUUUCCAUGUCAAGGAACGGAUACAAUCUGAGUGUUUCAUGAAGAACUUCGUUAAGAGUUUGGAUUUGGGGCUAGUGAAUUGCUUUCCCAGCACUGCUGUUAGUCAUAUGAUUCGUAUUGUGAAGGUUAUUUUUUCCCUGAAUCUGCAUUCUCAAACAAGCUAAUUGUCCUGCAGGCAUAGUGACUUGUAGUGACCUUAUGUGUUCACUAAUUUUCAUUUCUUUGCCAUGUUGCACUGAUCAAAACUCAAGAAUAUUGAUGUGGACUUCAGAAACAGCAGCAUCGCUGUCUUAUCUACCUGCCAUCUUUUUCAGGUAGAAAUCCUCAGUUCUCCCUCUCUUUAAAUUAAAUCCCGUCCUCUUAUUAACCUUUCUCUUACCAUUUACAGAAGAGGAUUCUGAUAGAUGUCCUGAAGCACUGGUACAAGAAAUGCAAGAUGAGGAGUCCAUUAGAAGAGAUGGGACUUAGAAGCAGGAUGAGUGAUACCUGGGUUGUAUUUUCUCUCAAAGCUCUUUCUGAAAUCAGUCCUGUCUGAACUCAGCUCCCAGAGUAGUAGAAAGCACUGUGCUUUGCAGUACAAGGAUAGAAGGAACAAAACUUCUGGAAGGAGAGUGCAAAGAGGUUGGAGCCAGGCUCUUUUCAGUAGUGCUCAGUGCCAGGUUAGGAGGCACUGGAUGCAAACUAAGCAUAGCGAGUUCCUUCUGGACAUCAGGAAGCACUUUUGUGUUGUAAAGGUGACAGAGCACUGGCUCAGUGACCUUGUGGAAUCUCCUCACUGAAGAUUUUCUGAAGCUGCCCAGAUAUGGUCCUUGGCACCCUCCUCUGGGUGUUCCUGCUUGGACAGAGGUCCCUUCCAGCCUCAGCCAUUCUGUGAUUCAUCCUGGCAGUUGUUUUCAUGGGAAGGGUCUUUUGAGAGUUAUGGGGAUGUGGUGGAGAGAAAUUAGGUUGGGUUGACAGAUGUUAGUUAUAUGGAGCACUUAAAAUCACAAACAACCCAAAAGAGGAGAAAAUACAGAUGGAAAAGAAAGCAGUCUUGUUAGAAAUGGGAGUAGUAGACACAAAAUCUCGCUUGGUUAGUACUUUGGCAUUUCUUUCCAUAGUUAAUUGUCUCAAUAAAGAUAGAUAACAAAGAUCUCUUUUCCUUUCACCAUUAUUUUAUCUGCAUCUCAGUUCCUUCCCAUACUUGGCAAAAACUGCAAUGAAACCAAUUCUUUAUUUUAGAAAAUGCUUUUCACACUUAGCUUUUAAAAGAGAAUCAGUGAAGCUUUAUACAAUAGCAAUUACUCUUUCUGCAUUUUCUGGCAGUUAGGCUUAUUAAUUUUGAAAACUGGAGGUUCGUGGGGCAAGAGGAGAAAGAAAGAAAACUUUCAAGAGAUCUUCUGCUUUUUUUUUUUUUCCUUCUUUUCUUGGUAGGCCAGUACUGCAGGCAGCUAGAUUUGAAGUGGUUUGUAUGAAACUCUGGAAGGAAAACAGUAUUAGCUGCACAUGCCUCUUUACAGAAUUUAGGAGUGCACUCUCUAGAGAACUAACACCCGUAUUAAUAGGAAUGUUUACUAUGCUUUCUACUUCAGCAGAGUCAAGAUUAAUCUCUUCAGUGUUAACUAUUACAAAAAAAAAAUCACUGUAUUAAAAACUGUAUGGCAGAGAGAUAAGCGAAAUGACAUGAAUUUUAAAUACAGAUCUGAGAAUUCAUUGCAUUGUCUCUUUUCAAUUAACAAGUGCCUUGUAUAUAUUGUUUAAUUCAAGUGAAUCUACUAUAGAAAUUCUGGAUAGCUUUAAUGGAGUACUUCAGAGCUUGUUUACUGGAUCUUGGUUAAAAAGCGUAUCAUUUGAGCAUACAUGAUGGCAUGUUAUCAUUUCCUACUGGAAGAUACAGUGAACUGCUCAGAGUAGCUGACAGAAGUGGCGGGUGGCAGAAGAGACAUGCUGAGUUGCCUUGUGUGUUUGUGUUCUCAUACUACAAUAUAUUGGUUUAAAAAUUCUGUAAUGUCUUAUACAUAUGUAAAGAAGUAACUUUUCGCAUGUGGAAUUAAGAAAAAGUCCAUAAUGUUGCAUAAGAUUGGUAGAGAGUUCUUUUUAAUUGUGGAUAUUUAAUUUCUUUCAUGUCGAAUUCGUCUUGCUUUCUAAGAAUGCUUAGUUAAUAUUGUUCUUAUUCUAAUGUAAAACAUGCAGUUGCUGUUUGGGUGCUGGUGGUGAUCCUUUCAGGAGGUGCAGCUGAGCUCUAAGGUUGGACAGCUCAGGGAUGAGGACAGCCUGCAGUGAGCAUGUUGCAUCCUACCAGCAGCCACAGCACUGUAGGUGGAAAAGGCACCUUGGGGUUGCCCUGUUUGAUGAGUCUGAGAACAGCUGGCAUCGUUGGCUGCAUGGGAUGGGUUGCUACGUGACCUCUCCUGAAGAGCUUUCUGCUUCCUUCUGCAUUCUGGUCUGGUGCAGAUAUCGGAAGGAUUUGGAGCAGCCAAAGAGGCAUCAGGGAAGAGGAAAGCUCCACUUUUCUGCAAGGAAGUGGUGUACAGGCAUUCCUCAAAAACUUCCUCAACUCUCAGGCCAGAAAGAAUUGAAAUAAGCAGAAGAUGUCUAAGCUAAGAUACAACCAUCUUUGUUUUUUUUUUUCCUACAGCCAUAAUUUUUAACAGUACUUUAAAGACUGAUUUAAUAUCUGUGGAAAAUGCAUAUUCUAGAGUGAUAGGAAUCCUUUCUUAAAUUCUGGAAUACAAAAUAACAAUUUUAGCCUUCAACUAGACUUAUUUCUUAAUACCAAGACAAUAGCACAUUAUCCAAGAACAAUCCCCAAAUCAUAAGAAUCUUCAAAUAAAAAUCUCUGCUAUCCAUGAGAGUAACCUGCCAUUUAAAAGUUGUAACGGAAGUGAUGUUAAGUCAGGCCUCUUGUAAUGAUGUCAUCAUGUAAUCCAAUUUAGCUAUGUCUUUACUGUUACAGUUGAGUUGAGAAACUAUUGUCUCUACCUAGCAGUAUUCCUUAACAUAAUUGCACCAACAAUAAUGAGACAGCAUUACUCUGUUUUGAAUUGAAUGCAUAUUGAUGCUGCUAGCAGUACGCUGCUCUGCAGAUUUAAACAAACAACUAUUUUUAAAUAUAAGAUAUAUCCUCAAAGUUUUUUUUUUUUUUCAGAGAGGAAAUCUUGCAAAUGUUUUUAUCUCUGGCUUUUAAAAUUGAUUUUAAUUCAGCAAUUUACUUCAAAGAGUUCUACUAGUUUCAUUUUGAGUUGGAUAGGUUUUAUGGUUUCAUGUCAAAGCAUCCUCUUAGGCCUUGUCGUCAAACACCAGUCAACGUAAUUGAAUUUUAAAAACUAAAUCAGUGUGAGAGAGAUGUUUGCAUGAAAAAAAGGAAAUCUAGGGACAAAUCAAGUAAUAUAAUAAACUGUGAAGUUAAAGCCAUAUGCUUCUGUCACUUUGACGCUCAGUUAAUGUCUGAAAUGAAAAUUCUGGAUAAUAGAUUUUGCUACUGUGAAGUGACUAGACAUAUUCCCCAUUGUGGCAUUUCAUAAUGACACUUACCUGCAUCAAUGUAGUAAGCAUAUUUACAUGGUAGAAAAUAUUAUUGAAGAAAUCUGUUUCUAAUUUGAAGCUUUUGCUGGAAUUAUCACUUUUUCAAUUUGUGUUGAUCUGAAUGAUAGAGAAAUCUCUUCAGAAGCGGCUUGCGUUAUUGAGGCAAAAAACCUGCUAACAGUACAAGCAGUGAUUUGUCAUUCGUCUUUAGUAAGCCCUCUUUGCUUACUGAAGAUUAGAUUUUCUUAGUUCAUGAGUGGACAUAAUACACCUUGGCAAUGUUGUUUGAUGGUUGAUGGUGUCAGGAUCACCUGUCUUCAUCUUGCACCAGGGGACUACAGACUAUGAUGACUAGUUCUCUUUCCAGAACCUACUUAAUAAAGAGGUAGCAGCAUGAAACAAAUUGAUGUGUGGAUAUUUUGCAUGGGAGGGGGUUGUUGAAGUCAAUUUAGGGUAGACAUUCUGCUCUAGCCUUCUCUUUUGCUGACCUGACUUGGCAAAAAAACCUCAGGAUCCAGGGAGUAUGGAUUUUCUCUACAUCUCACACAAUUCCUCAUCCGUGGAAGCAAUUGCUGUAUUGAAAAGGAAGAAUCUUUAUUUGGUGACCAAAUCUUUAGACCUAUGCUUGAGUGAGGAAGCUAAGUCUGUUCAUUUGCGUCAUUUCAAUUUCAUCUGGUAAACUUGAGAAGUUUUUGCAUGUUUUAGAUUGUCCCCCUGUACACAUUAGAAGACUGCAUUCUUUUCUGAGACACCAGGUGCUUCACAGUAUUUGCGAUAGUCUCUGUAACUGUGAUGGAAACUUCGGGUUGAUCUACAGCAUCCAUUCUUCUAAUGAGAAGCUCAUCUUGGCUUCAGACAUCUGUCAGGGACUUCAUAUCAGAUGUUUCCUUUUCUUCAGUUUCUGGACUGUGAACACCCAUGCUUCUGCUGUGUUGUUAUGUCACAUCUCUAUGUGUCUUAUAAAAGAAGAAUGUAUUCUGCUAGGAACAAGGCUCCAAAUGGUCUCUGUACCCUCUUCAGUCAUCCACAUGGCAAUCUGAACAGCCUAAGCUAUGACUGAGAUAGAAUCAGCAUCUGGAGCUGUCUUCUAUCAGAUCAAGACUUAGAGGAAGACUAAUGCUAGUCCAGGAACUUGUGCUGUUAACUGCCUUGGUUUUGUUGUUGUUGUUGUGUGGCUGGGCUGAUGGGCUUCCUAGUGCCUUUUUAUAACAAAAUAUUAGAUACCUGGGGACUGGAUAUAAUGAACAAUGACUGUUAAUCCAGCUUACCGCAUACCCCCACUUCUCUAUCCUUUUUUAGACACCCUUUAUGUGAACAUAUGCCUUAUCUGCAGAUGGAUUUUGUACUGUUACGGAUGUCCUUCAGCCAGUUGCAGCACACCCCUGUAGAGUGGAUUUUAUAGAGGUUAUAUCGCACAAAGAGAAAGGUAUAGGAUGUUUUGUCAUCCUGUGUUUGAAAUUCAUGUUCAGUAGGCAGUUUGUAACUUAUUUUAAUAUUGUAGGUGCGCAUUUUCAUAUAGUUAUAAAUCUGGCCCAUGGUCAGUGAUCUGUUUUGUACUCAUAUGACAACUGUGUUCAUUUCAGAAGCUUUUCUUUUGUCCUGCCUGUAACCCUUUACGUUUUCAUCAUGGUAGUGGCAAUCAUUGUUAAAUUCUCAUGCCUCUGCAUGCCUUUUUUCAUUUACUUUGACAAUUGUUCAGUUGUUAAAGGAUUCCACAAGAGUGCAAAACCUGAAUCUCAUCAAAUGACUCAGUCUCUUUCCAAGCAUCUGGGUCCCAAGGUGAAUGCUUGAAUCAAAAGUGAUGUUACUGAAAUCUGGAGAAACCAUUAAAUCUCAGUCUAAGAGCCCUUUGGCUGUGAAUGGAUUCUAGACUCAGUUUUACUUUACUGACAAUACACAUCGCAGCUAACCUUCGUAAUGCCUCGUGCCACACGUCACAUAACACUAAACCUGUCACCCCUUUGCUUGCUUUCCUACUGCGAAUUAUUUCAGCAGGCUGUUCACCAUUUCUCAACAUACGGAAACCUUGUGCAAUGGAGUCAGUAUCAGGCCACAGGACAAAUCUUCUUCCAAUUCCCUCCUCAGUACAGGAACAUGUCUGACACAUCCAUUUUGACGCUGUGACUCCAGUGGAUAAACUCAGCAUCAAAGGGAUGAAGUCUUUAGAGGAGCACGAGCCUCAUGUUUCUUUUGUGGGAACUCACAGUGCUUCUGAAAUGCAUCUACAUGAGAUUUCCAGACUCAUAUCCAGGGACUGUAGCUGCACGGUGUGCCUGAGCGGGAAUGGACAACAUUGUCUUGGUUCUUUGAGGUCCCUGCACAGUUGGUCCGUAGAGAAAAGGAUUAACUGUUCUCCAUGAUCCUCCAGCUCUUCAUCAGACCCAUCAAACAGAAUAUGUUGCUUGAGGCUGUGCGGGAGAUCUAUUCUGAUUACUUCACUUGGAUCUUUCCAAGGGGAAGGCAGCCUAGUGUAAAUCAUUUUUACUUCUCCCACUGGCAGGAAGCACUCGUAGCUUUUCUUAAGAUGAAGUUAGGUGUAGGAUCUUUUUUCAGUGUAUUCCUGGUACAGUGAUCAGGUGGGCUGUUGAAUGGGUUUCACCCAGCUUCUGGAUUGGUAGAAGUCCUGACCGUAAUUUGCUUGAGAAUUGAGAAUAUUAGAAACUGUUGUAAUGUCUGGAUUUUCUUUGUUUUGUGGUGAAGAUCUGACAGAUAUCUGCUGUUUCUUGUAAUUUCUAUCUGAAUUUCUGUCUGAUGUCUUCCAUUGUCC